rnacentral:rRNA from 1 species
GACGAACGCUGGCGGCGUGCUUAACACAUGCAAGUCGAACGGAAAGGCCCUGCUUUUGUGGGGUGCUCGAGUGGCGAACGGGGGAGUAACACGUGAGUAACCUGCCCUUGACUUUGGGAUAACUUCAGGAAACUGGGGCUAAUACAGGGUAGGAGCUCCUGCUGCAUGGUGGGGGUUGGAAAGUUUCGGCGGUUGGGGAUGGACUCGCGGCUCAUCAGCUGGUUGGUGUGGUAGUGGCUUACCAAGGCUUUGACGGGUAGCCGGCCUGAGAGGGUGACCGGGCACAUUGCGACUGAGAUACGGCCCAGACUCCUACGGGAGGCAGCAGUGGGGAAUAUUGCACAAUGGGCGGACGCCUGAGGCAGAAACGCCGCGUGCGGGAUGCCGGCCUUUGGGUUGUAAACCGCUUUCGCCUGUGACGAAGCGGGAGUGACGGUACUGGGUAAAGAAGCACCGGCUAACUACGUG